GAGUUUGAUCCUGGCUCAGGAUGAACGCUGGCGGCGUGCUUAACACAUGCAAGUCGAACGGACUCUUCGGAGUUAGUGGCGGACGGGUGAGUAACGCGUGAGGAUCUGCCCUUAGGAUGGGGACAACGACUGGAAACGGUCGCUAAUACCCGAUGUGCCGAGAGGUGAAAGGCUUGCUGCCUGAAGAUGAGCUCGCGUCUGAUUAGCUAGUUGGUAGUGUAACGGACUACCAAGGCGACGAUCAGUAGCUGGUCUGAGAGGAUGAUCAGCCACACUGGGACUGAGACACGGCCCAGACUCCUACGGGAGGCAGCAGUGGGGAAUUUUCCGCAAUGGGCGAAAGCCUGACGGAGCAAUACCGCGUGAGGGAGGAAGGCUCUUGGGUUGUAAACCUCUUUUCUCAGGGAAGAAGACAAUGACGGUACCUGAGGAAUAAGCAUCGGCUAACUCCGUGCCAGCAGCCGCGGUAAUACGGAGGAUGCAAGCGUUAUCCGGAAUGAUUGGGCGUAAAGCGUCCGCAGGUGGCUGUGUAAGUCUGCUGUCAAAGAGCAAAGCUCAACUUUGUAAAGGCAGUGGAAACUACACGGCUAGAGUGCGUUCGGGGCAGAGGGAAUUCCUGGUGUAGCGGUGAAAUGCGUAGAGAUCAGGAAGAACACCGGUGGCGAAGGCGCUCUGCUAGGCCGCAACUGACACUGAGGGACGAAAGCUAGGGGAGCGAAUGGGAUUAGAUACCCCAGUAGUCCUAGCCGUAAACGAUGGAUACUAGGCGUGGCUUGUAUCGACCCGAGCCGUGCCGUAGCUAACGCGUUAAGUAUCCCGCCUGGGGAGUACGCACGCAAGUGUGAAACUCAAAGGAAUUGACGGGGGCCCGCACAAGCGGUGGAGUAUGUGGUUUAAUUCGACGCAACGCGAAGAACCUUACCCAGGCUUGAACUGCAGGUGACACUCUACGAAAGUAGACUUCCGCAAGGACGCCUGUAGAGGUGCUGCAUGGCUGUCGUCAGCUCGUGUCGUGAGAUGUUGGGUUAAGUCCCGCAACGAGCGCAACCCUUGUCUUCUGUUGCCAUCGGGUUAUGCCGGGCACUCUGAAGAGACUGCCGGUGACAAACCGGAGGAAGGUGGGGAUGACGUCAAGUCAGCAUGGCCUUUAUGUCUGGGGCCACACACGUGCUACAAUGGCCGGUACAAACCGUCGCGAUACCGUAAGGUGGAGCUAAUCGGAGAAAGCCGGUCUCAGUUCGGAUUGUAGGCUGCAACUCGCCUGCAUGAAGUUGGAAUCGCUAGUAAUCGCGGAUCAGCACGCCGCGGUGAAUACGUUCCCGGGCCUUGUACACACCGCCCGUCACAUCACGAAAGCUGGCUGUACUAGAAGUAGCAGCGCUAACCCGCAAGGGAGGCAUGUUCCUAAGGUAUGGUCAGUGAUUGGGGUGAAGUCGUAACAAGGUAACC
rnacentral:rRNA from 1 species